rnacentral:rRNA from 1 species
GUUUUUUUGUUUAUAAUAUAAGAUUAGGCCUGCCCAUUGAUUUGAAAUAUUAAAAGGCUGCGGUAUUUUGACUGUACGAAGGUAGCAUAAUCAUUUGUCUUUUAAUUGGAGGCUAGAAUGAAUGGUUUGAUGAGAAAUUAACUUUAUUUAAUUAAUUAUUUUGAAUUUAAUUUUUUAUUUAAAAAGAUAAAAUUUUUUUAUAGGACGAGAAGACCCUAUAGAAGUUUACUUAGUUAAUAAAUUUUUAUUUUGGUUAUAAUAAUUAAUUUUUUUGAAUACUAAGUUUUGUUGGGGUGACAAUAAAAUUUUAUUAACUUUUAUUAUUUUUUACAUUAAUUUAUGUUUUGAUCCAGAAUUUUUGAUUAUAAGAUUAACUUACCUUAGGGAUAACAGCGUAAUUUCUUUGGAUAGUUCGUAUUGAUAAAGAAGUUUGCGA